GUCAGGCAUGGUGGCUCAUGCCUGUAAUCCUAGCACUUUGGGAGGCUGAGGCAGGAGGAUCACUUGAGCCCAGGAGUUUUGGGCUGCAGUGAGCUAUGAUCGUGCCACUGCACUCCAGCCUGAGCAACAGAGAAAGACUCUAUCUCUGAAAAAAUAAAAAUUGACCGGGUGAGGUGGCUCACGCCUGUAAUCCCAGCACUUUGGGAGGCCGAGGUGGGCAGAUCACCUGAGGUGAGGAGUUCAAGACCAGCCUGGCCAACAUGGUGAAAUCUCGUCUGU
rnacentral:sRNA from 10 species